rnacentral:lncRNA from 1 species
UGAUUCUGUUUUUUGCAGGGAACAGGUUGGGAGGUGGGGGUCAUAGUUAGGGAGUUCAGCUUUGGCCCCUCGCCCCGCAGGAAAGAAUGAAACUAUUAUCUCAGGAAAAGCUUUCCUAACCUAGCCCUCAAUGUGUGCUUCCUCUUGUAAACUCCCAAAGUAGGUGUGUUUCACUUUGGUUUCGUAAACAAAAUGCUUUUAAAUAUAGUCAAGCAAUAGAGUGAGCCAUCUGUCCAAAGAUUAAGGCACUAAGUAGCAGAAGGUGAAUCUGACUUUCUGCCUUUUCUGCCACACCAUGCUGCUGUGAAGCAUAGCAGAAGCCCCAUCUGGGCCACGACCUCUGGAUUUUGGUUCCAGCUUGCUGCUUCUUACGUACUCUUUCUGCUUUUCAAAACAGCCAAGAAAGCAGUGAUGCUUCUAAGGCCUCUAGCCACUGCAAUUCUAAACAAACAGCCUGAAUACAGGCUGGGGGUGAGAGGGGAGUGGGAUGAAUUUCAGUAUCAGCUGAGACUAUGGGGGAGCUCUGCUGCGGCACGUAACAGCUAACAGCGGUUGUGGCAGGAUGAGGCCUGACCUUUAUGGCAAGAUCAUUUAUAGACCUUCCUUCUGUCCCAGUUAGAAUACGUCAAUGUCACAUCUAACACACUUUCUUCUUAGAAAUUCUUGGUUAUCAAAACAACUUGAGAGAACUGUUAUGGUGAAAAGAAGCACUGGAGUUGGCAUUUGAGGGUCUGUUUCAGAUUCUGCUCUUCAUUUAAUGUCUGUGUGGCCUUUGGCAAUUCCGUUUGCCUAAGUUUCACUUAACUGUUGGUAACAUUAACAGUUGCCUUAAGAGUUUAGUGAGUGUUUGAUAAGGCAAAUAUAUAUGUAAAUGUUCAGAUAUCUAGGCACUUAAUGUCAAUUGAAAAGGAUUUAUUUCUAAUAUUAUAACAUCUGCUACAACUUUAAAAAGCUGUUACAUAAUUAAAUCGUGUCCCGACUUCUCGCUUUGAUACCCUGGACCUUGGUUCAGAUGGAUUUUGUUAGGGUAUACAGUCAACCAAACCUGGUAGAUUACAAUAACGGCCCCAAUUCUC